rnacentral:lncRNA from 1 species
AAAAUCCCAUAUUUUCUUAUGUAAAGUAGUUAAGUUAUCUUUCGUUAUAGUUCUGUUACAGAUAUAAGUUAACCCCAGGAAAAUCCCAUAUUUUCCUAAUUGUAAGAUUUAUUGGAUAACACAUAGUAUAGUUUAAUUCACAAAACUAUAAUUUAGACGAACUGUAAAUAGAAAGUAUUUUGAAAACCUUGGGACUACAUCCCGAACCAGUUAUAAGAUANGGAAAACCUUGACUACAUCCCGAACCAAUUAGUAUUUGAAAACCUUGGGACUACAUCCCGAACCAAUUAGUAUUUGAAAACCUUGGGACUACAUCCCGAACCAAUUAGUAUUUGAAAACCUUGGGACUACAUCCCGAACCAAUUAGUAUUUGAAAACCUUGGGACUACAUCCCGAACCAAUUAUA